rnacentral:rRNA from 1 species
GUAGGGAGCAAGCGUUGUUCGGAAUUACUGGGUGUAAAGGGCGCGCAGGCGGCCGCCCAAGUUGGAUGUGGAAUCUUCCAGCUCAACUGGAAAAUUGCAUUCAAAACUGGGUGGCUUGAGUACAGGAGAGGAGAACGGAAUUUCCAGUGUAGCGGUGAAAUGCGUAGAUACUGGAAGGAACACCGGUGGCGAAGGCGGUUCUCUGGCCUGAUACUGACGCUGAGACGCGAAAGCUAGGGUAGCGAACGGGGGAUUAGAUACCCCGGUAGUCCUAGCCCUAAACGAUGGACACUAGGUGUAGGAGGUAUCGACCCCCCUCCUGUGCCGCAGCUAACGCAUUAAGUGUCCCCACCUGGGGAGUACGGCCGCAAGGCUG